UGAUAAUGGUGAGGUCAAUUUCUCAGCAUACCCUUAAAUAUCUCCCAAGCUUGGUAGAGAUUCGUUCCGUCUUUUAGUAUAAAACUCAAGAUUUCACUCCUCAAGCG
rfam:Capsicum annuum cultivar Zunla-1 chromosome 8, whole genome shotgun sequence